CUAGAAGAUAGCAAAAGAUACGAUACGAUACGAUACGAUAUGAUACGAUACUAGAUUUGAUUCAUUCGGUCCGUAUUUACUACUAUUUUUUUCAUUUUGUUUUAAUUUUUUUUCUCUAGUGCUAAUGAUGGGAU
rnacentral:ribozyme from 16 species